CCGUGUGGCUCACUUGGUAGAGCAUGGUGUUUGCAACGCCAGGGUUGUGGGUUCGAUUCCCACGACGG
rnacentral:tRNA from 1 species